GAUGAACGCUGGCGGCGUGCCUAAUACAUGCAAGUCGAGCGAACAGACGAGGAGCUUGCUCCUCUGACGUUAGCGGCGGACGGGUGAGUAACACGUGGAUAACCUACCUAUAAGACUGGGAUAACUUCGGGAAACCGGAGCUAAUACCGGAUAAUAUAUUGAACCGCAUGGUUCAAUAGUGAAAGACGGUUUUGCUGUCACUUAUAGAUGGAUCCGCGCCGCAUUAGCUAGUUGGUAAGGUAACGGCUUACCAAGGCAACGAUGCGUAGCCGACCUGAGAGGGUGAUCGGCCACACUGGAACUGAGACACGGUCCAGACUCCGACGGGAGGCAGCAGUAGGGAAUCUUCCGCAAUGGGCGAAAGCCUGACGGAGCAACGCCGCGUGAGUGAUGAAGGGCUUCGGAUCGUAAAACGCUGUUAUGAGGGAAGAACAAAUGUGUAAGUAACGAUGCACGUCUUGACGGUACCUAAUCAGAAAGCCACGGCUAACUACGU
rnacentral:rRNA from 1 species